rnacentral:lncRNA from 10 species
UUGUACUGACUCUUUAACUAGCUCCCUUCAAGGAACAGGCGGCUUCCGAGAUUGUCUUAAAGCAGUGUGGGAUGUCCAGGCCCUGCCCAGGUCCUAUCUUUUCUUCCAGCACCAUCCACCUCCCUGAAAUCUUCUCAUAGCACCUGGUCCUCACCUCGUUCUUCUCGUUGAAUUCUGUUUCCUCCUUGGUGUCUACCUUGCUACAUUCAUUCCACAGGCAUCUCUGUUCUAUUAGGCAGUCCUUUCUGUAAGCAUUUCCCAUGGAUAUUAUAACCUAACCUUCAAGCUUUGUCAACACUUAUCAGCAGAAUUCUGCUUGUAUCUUGGGCCAGAAUGAGUCACAGCACAUCCCUGGAUGCAGAGAAGGGUAGGAACUCUGAUACUUGGCUUCUCAGUUUCCAUACAAGAGGUAGCAAUGGAGAAGAGUGUUGGGAGAAGAUUUUAGUAGGGAAUCAACAGUGUUAACUCCACACCUGGAACAGCCAGUCUUCCUGAAUUCAUGAUAAAGUAAGUAAACAUAAGAAAGGAAAACUUUUGUACGGUGAACUUGGGCUAAAAAGAAGAAUGAUGUCUCUGGAACUUUUGCUGCUUAUAGGAAUGAGAGCAAAAUCCUGGCAUGACCAUGAUCCUUCAAUGAGCACCACUGUGUUGCUGC